rnacentral:lncRNA from 1 species
CAGCUAGCCAUUCAGUUCUUCCAUGGUUCAUAGCAUGUCUCAUGAGUGCGUUACCUGUCAUUUCAGCUGGCGAGCGUGAGGAUGCUGCCGUGGGCCAAGGCGCACCUGAACCCCACCGGGCAGGCCCUCAUCAUCUCCACUGUCGCUGGGAUGGCCUACUUCAUCGUCGCCGACAAGACCAUCCUCUCCAUGGCCAUGGCCAGGAGGCACUCCUUCGAGGACGCGCCGGAGCACCUCAAGAACACCUCCUUCCACUAGUUAGAUCCAUUAUUAGUAAUGCCCAAUGAACCGUGUAUGCCAAAGUGCAUAGCGUACAGUGAUCAGCAAAGGGAGGUCAUAAUAUAAUUUUCAUCAUGCAAGUAGCCAUGUACAGCAUCUUUUGAGCUAGCAAUACUGAAAGAUGUACCAGCAUUUGUUAACCAAUAUUUUCCAGCUACCGGCUAUUUUGAUGAGUCAGUCAGAUUAUAUAAAAAGUUAAGCAACCUCAAGCUGACGUUUAGUUUAAUCUUGUUGGCUCGCUGCCACCCACGUGACACAUCGACUUGAUCAGCGACAACAUAUAGUAAACCUCAGAUCCUAGUUUCUAGUUAGCAAAUUCAGCGACAGUGCCGUUUUGAUCCAAGGUGAUCCCAGAAAGAUGCCGAAAUUUCUCAGAGGGGGAUAUUUACACACCAUGCAUCAUGUCAAAAAUCAGUGUUACAUCUCCAUUGCUUGCUGCCACUGAUCUCCCCGGAAUAUAUAGUUGUUUAACUAUCAAUAACUCAGUCCACACAACUGAAUCGUCAUGUUCGUGUUCAAUUUGGCAAUUCCCCUGGCGAAUCACAUAUCUUGCUUUGUAUAUGCAUAUGUGAUGUAUAUAUAUGUUUUUCGGAAAUGUUAACGCCCACACGUGUGGGCGUUUACAUCUCGCCCACAAGCGUGGAUCCGCGUCCGUUUGUGAGCGCACGAAUCUUGGCAUGUUUUUAGUGCCACGUAGGACUGGCCUGGUGUGUGGGCGUUCAUCCGGUCGCCCACACGAUCGUUUCACCACACGGGAGGGGCUGGUGUGUGGGCGUUCAACAGUUCGCCCACACGCCACUUUCCAUGCACGCACAAGGGCUAGUAUGUGAGCAUUUAUCAUCUCGCCCACACGCCAUCUUCUCUUCCACACCCAAGCUGCUAGUUGCCAUAUGUUAUGCAACGCACAUGGCAACUGCCCUAGUGUGCUUUGUAAGCAGGUGUCAACUCUCUUUUUACCCGAGUUGACAUGUGUUUUGCAGGGUACACGGCAACUGCCUAGUGUGCACGUAAGCAGAUGACAACUCUCUCUUUACCGAGUUGCCAUGUGUUUUUGCAUGGUAUAUGGCAACUGCCCUAACGUGCACGUAAGCAGAUGACAAUUCUUCCUUUUUACAUGGCAACUGCCCUAGUAUGCUUGUGAGCACAUGGCAACUCUCUCAACUGCCUAGUGGUAGUAUGUGGCAACUCCUAAAGUUUUGAAAUCAUGACAACUACAAUAGACCAGACCAUACAUGGCAACUGUAGUUGAGCAACCAUGGCAACUGCAGUUGUCCGACAUGGCAACCGUAGUUCAGCGACAUGGCAACUGCCCUAACGUGCACGUAAGCAGAUGACAAUUCUUCCUUUUUACAUGGCAACUGCCCUAGUAUGCUUGUGAGCACAUGGCAACUCUCUCAACUGCCUAGUGGUAGUAUGUGGCAACUCCUAAAGUUUUGAAAUCAUGACAACUACAAUAGACCAGACCAUACAUGGCAAACUGCAGUUGAGCAACCAUGGCAACUGCAGUUGUCCGACAUGGCAACCGUAGUUCAGCGACAUGACAACUGCAGUUAAACGAACAUGGACGAGGGUCUGGACCAUGGCAACUGCGGGCGCGCGGUGACUUUCACGCUGGGCGUGCGGGACCACGAGGUACGAGGCCUGACAUACGGGGCGUAUGGGCGUUAUCUACUUCGCCCACACGCACGCGUGUGAGAGGGAUCGGGAGGGAAAAAAAGAUGUGUGUGGGCAUUACUUGUUUUGCCCACACGUAGAUAUGUGGACUGUUUUUCUUAUACACCACACAAAAUGUGUGGGCAGUCUCCCUAACGCCCACACGUGUGGCACUUAUCGGCGUCCAUGUUUUUUUCAUGUGUACUUACCUUAUACAUAAAUUGAAGUGAAUGGCAGACAUGAACAUGUGAUGUAUAUAUGUUUUUGUCAUGAACAUGAUGACAUUGGUGUGAAAGUGAUCACAAUUUAGUUUACCUAACUUUGUAAUAAAUCAGUGUAAAUAUUUGCACGACACCAAAAUUAUUUCCGAUCUCACCAAAAGAUCCGAAAUUUAUAAGAUUUAGAAUUUAUAUAGAACCAGUUAGUCUAAAAUUCUUUGGAUUUGAACAACGUUAGUCCAAUUAUGACACGGUUCCCAUAGAAGUCAUCUUUUGCUACAUAAUUUUCUUUUGCUAUUUCAUCUUUACAAGAAGGAUUGGACGCGCUUUGCUUUGCUGUUGUUGGAUUUCACAAAGAUAAUUUUUGGUUUGGCGUGGGAGAAAGAUGAUGGAGUGUUUUUUUAAUGUGGUUCUCAGUGAGAUUUGUUAGCGGUGUGAUUAUAUGUUAUUUUCUAAUCAACAAAUACUUAUGUGGGGAAGUCCCGGUCCAAUUUUUUAUACUUAUGUUGGCAAGUUUUUUGCGUUGGUAGCCUCAUGUAUUAUAUUGGUGCCAUGGUGUCACAUGCUGGUGCUUCUUUUUUUAGAUGGUGAGAGGUGCACAACACAUGAUUAGUGUGUUUUUACGAGCUGGUUGUUGUCAAUUAAUUUGAGAAAUCAUUAACCCCGUCAAAAUCAUGAAUCAAAAUCCAAAAUUAAAUACCUCAACCAAAUGAAAGAGCAUGUUCAGAAAUAGUUGACCUAAUCAAAAUCAUAAAUCAAAGUCAGAUUUUAAAACUUCAAUUCAGUAGGAGGGAUCCAAAAUUAAAGAGCAUAAAUGAUAGCUAGUAAAAAACCUUUACGUUAUUUGAACUAGACGAUACCCCGCGCGUUGCUACGUAACUUUGUUAAAAAAUGCAGAGAUAGUUGCUAGAAAAUAUUCACAUCCAAUGAAAAGGAAAUAUUAGUUUGAAAAUCAAUAAAAGAAAGUCUCCAAAAACAGAAUAUAAAUUUUGGAAUUACUGCUAAAAAUAUCAUUUCGAACAAACAGGUAAAGGAUGACUACCAUGCAUGCAUGAUGUGGCAACGUUAUAUGCAUAGAGUAAUGCAAAAAUUAUUGCAAUUUAUUAGUUCGCUUAUGUGGUAGAUUUUGCAUGGCUUAGUGGGAGAGAAGACUUAAAUGCAUGGUCUUGGUGAUGGUAGUCUGGAUGGCGUACCAUCGAUACGAUAACGACUGCACAUUGAGAUCAUGGAUGAUGUGCAUGUCAUGGGGAGCAAUGUGCUUUUGCGCGUGAAACGAAUCAUGCACGCGCUGCCAGAAGAUCCCUCUUCUGCUACAGCCUAUGAACUCCGUGGAUAUGGCCAACCACGCAUCGCACAACAACUCAUCCUCCAUGGUUGAGUACCCCCACCAUUCUUUGUGGACUAAAUAAACAAAAUGCCAUUCAAAAAUAAGCUCAAUUAUAUUUGACCAAACACCUGUCAGGCAUGGUGUCAGCCAUGGACGUCGUCGACGGGUCCUGGAUGGACGGCGCCAUUGUAAAAGGUGAGCGGGCGUGUCGGUGCUGCUUGCGUAUGUCUGGCAAUGCCUGUGUGGCGGCCGGAGAGGUACAACGACAACGUCGGAGAAGGAGGAAGCAAUGGGGAGAAGGGGCGGCUUGGAAGAAAAUGUGACCGGGAGGAGGGAGGGGGGUAGUGGCCGGGGAUUCGGAGCCCUACGUGCCUGCUGUCUGGACUCCCGCACCCUCCCCACUUUGCUUCCAAUUUGCGGGAAAAAGUGCCUCUGGACCGAUCGUGAGACCGAUACACGCAUUGGAUGGCAAAGCACAUCCGAACUCUGCAGUUCGAAUGUGUGCGGGCGGUUUGAGGGUCGGUGUUGGAGAUGCCCUAAAAUGAGUAUAACACAUAGUUAUGCCUAGCUCAAAUAAAUUUAAAUUGAGAUUUAAACUUCCUUUGAGAAUUUUGAACGGUAUGCGGUUAGUUUUAUUCGGUAGCCACAUCUUUUUCCCCCUCUUGCCAUUUGUUCGGUAUAUUUGGUAGCCAUGACCUUGGCCGGGGUCGGGAUUCACGACGACGGGAGAUGUAUGGUGGUUGUGCGAGUGGUGACAUAGCUAGCUAGUGAAAACAUUUACUGUUGAGUAUCGUGAUUAUCAGGAAAGAGGAGAUAGACUAGGAUUUUUUUCUGGCUUGUCUUGUACUUUAAGUAAAUCAUUGUACUCCUAUAUAUAUAUGCCCACGAGGCUCAAGCAAUACAACGAACAACUAUUUCACCAGAUCCCUCUCUCCCUUCUAACAUGGUAUCAAUUUUCGGGUUCUAAAGCCUAGCCGCCGCCGCUUUUGCACCCGUGCACCGCCGCCGGGGCGGUCAGCCUCCAUGACCGUCGCUGGGGGCCGCGCCGCCCAUAUCGAGGGUUCAUCCGCCAGCCGUGUUGGCCGGCUGCCCUAGGGAGCCUUUUUCUCGAGCCCUUGCUUCGGGUUUUUUUUUGCUCUCUCGCUGGUCAUUUUGAUCGGCGUUUUUCUUUUUGAUUUUGAUCUAUGCUUGAUCAGUUUGUGUUGCCCGCCGCCGCCGUCGACACCCCGCGCCUCUACUCCGACACCGGCGCGACCGACCGGCUACUUCACCGACCCGGCGGCAUCGCGCGACAGGCAGCCCUCAAGGCCGUCGUCCGCGCCCUGGCCCGUUUGACGCCCUACGCCGGCCAUCAACGCCCUGCUCCGACCGGGGCACCUGCAUCGCCUACACCCGGCGGCCUCGCGCUAUGCGGCGGCCAAUAGUAGCCGCCGCUCGCGCGUCGACCCGCCAAUCGAUCCACGCCACCCGCCUCCGCCGCGUUUGCACAGCGGCCCGGCGGUCUUCCUCGCUGGCCUCGUCCUCCGCUGCAUAGGGACGGCUGUGUCAGGCUCGUUGGCUGCCUCAACUCGGGCGCCGCUGCUUCGUUGGUCGCUCGGGCCUCGCUGCCAAGGCGCCAACGCUGCUUUGGCAGCCUGGGUGCCGGUGCUGACAAGCUCGUCCGCACGACGUCCCACACCGUCCGUCGUCGCUGACCUCAUCUCGGACUCCGCCGCCACCCCGCCUCCACCGAGGGGCGUCCCCGACCUCGCGCAUGAUCGGCUUGAUCACCCGCUCACCGCUUCAUCUAGGCCGCGCGACCGACCUGGUCCAUCGGUUACGCGCGCCUCCGUAGGCCCCGUGAAGAUCGUCCUUGAGUUCAGCAUGCCCCUCCACCGAUCGAGCAAUGGGCUGCCGUCGCGUCGCCCCGUCGAGCCACAGCGCCACCGCCCCGUGGUUCACCUCGCGGUGCAUCGACUCGCGUAUUGCCGCUGCGUCGCCCCUACAGGCCGUAGUGCCGCGAUACGCGGUCCCAGCCGUCGUCCCGAGGCCGUCCCAAUGGUUGCACCGACGCACGCUCCGCCGCUGCACCGCCACUUCGGGUCGUAGCGCCGCGGUCCCUGCCGCCGCCCCGAGGUCUUCUUGCCGUCGCCCCGACCUGCCCGCCGCCACUGCGUUGCCCCUUCGGGCCGUAGCGCCGCGGCCUGCAGUCCAUUCCGCCGUCACCGCGCGUCGACCUCCCGUGGUAUGCGACACGCCCUCUCCCUGGGCGCGGGAAUGCCACCGUCCGCGUCGGUCUUCGUCACGUUGUCAGGGUUCUUCGCCUACAUCGAGCACCGUCACCGCGCUCCUAACCUAGCCUCCGCCGCCGCCGUCAGGCCGCCGGUGCCGCUCUUCUUUGGCCACCGCCGUUGUCGGUGUCAAAACUGGCAGAUCUCGGGUAGGGGUUCCCGAACAGUGCGUCUAAGGCUAAUGGUAACAGGAGCCAGGGGACACAAUCUUUACCCAGGUUCAGGCCCUCUCUAUGGAGGUAAUACCCUACUUCCUGCUUGAUUGAUCUUGAUGAUAUGAGUAUUACAAGAAUUGAUCUACCACGAGAUCAUAGAGGCUAAACCCUACAAGCUAGCCUAUGAUUAUGAUUGUUGUUGUCCUACGAACUAAAUCCUCCGGUUUAUAUAGACACCGGAGGGGGCUAGGGUUACACAGAGUCGGUUACAGAGAAGGAAAUCUACAUAUCCGAAUUGUCAAGCUUGCCUUCCACGCAAAGGAGAGUCCCACACAGACACGGGACGAAGUCUUCAAUAUUGUAUCUUCAUAGUCCAAUAGUCCGGCUGUCCGAGGACCCCUUAAUCCAGGACUCCCUCAGUAGCCCCUAGACCAGGCUUCAAUGACGAUGAGUCCGGCGCGCAGAUUGUCUUCGGCAUUGCAAGGCGGGUUCCUUCUCCGAAUACUCCAUAGAAGAUCUCGAAUACAAGGAUCAUGUUCGGCUCUGCAAAACAAAUUCCACAUACCACCGUAGAGAGCACAAUAUUCCAAAAAUCUAAUCUGCUGAUAACUUUUCAUAGCAUGAUAUCACGCUACGGCUCGGUCAUUAUUCGAACCGUUUUUCUCAACCUGCCACUUCACAUCUUGCGAGGAGGUUUUAUUGGUACGUCUUGUCGAAGCAGAGAUCAUGUCCCCUUAUCACCGGAUUCUCAUCAAUACGGGUGUGGGUAACCCAACCGCGCCAUCAACACGACGCUUGGGGAAUAAGAUAGUUUAUCGGCAAGUGGGGAGGCGCAUGGUUUCUACCGCCUUUCUAAAGAGAUAAGGAUUCCCCUUUUUCACCCACGCCUUCUUCUUCUUCUGCUCAUCCAUUCUCCCUCCCUCGAGCUCCAGCGCGCAAGUUCUCACCUUCUCCGUAAAGCCAUUCCAAGCAUGUCCGGAGCGGGAGGCAAGUGGAUGGCCUCCUCCGUUAUGGAGGAGGACAUCACGAAGCUUUGGGAGGCCGGAUACCUAUCCGCAAACAUCACGCACAGGCUUCCGGCUGAAGGGCAAAUCGUCCCUACCCCUAAACCUCAGGAGAGGGUAGUGUUCCUCUCUCACUUCGUCCGCGGGCUGGGAUUCCCCCUCCACCCAUUUGUCCACGGACUUAUGUUCUACUAUGGGCUGGACUUCCAUGAUCUGGCCCCCAAUUUUAUCCUCAACAUCUUGGUGUUUAUCGUCGUGUGCGAGGCCUUCCUCUGCAUUACCGCCCACUUUGGCCUAUGGCUGAAGACCUUCAACGUGAAGCCAAAGGUGGUGGUUGGCCAACAAGUAGAGUGUGGGGGCGCCAUGGUGGGCAACAUGCCCAAUGUCACCUGACCCGAAGGCUCCUUUGUGGAGACCAUGAAGGGGUGGCAAUCGGGGUGGUUCUACAUCACCGAGCCGCGUGACACCAACUGGGCGGCAGCCCCCGAAUUUCGAUCCAGCAUCCCCAUGCGGCUCACCUCCUGGAAAGAGAAGGGCUUGGCCUGUGUCAUCGGUGGAGCUGACCGGACUUCAGACCUGCGUCCAAAAUAUGAUAGGCAAGAAAAUCAAGCUUGUCAAUGUGGUCCAGGUCAUGCUCCUCCGCCGAAUCAUUCCAUGUCGGAGACGGGCUUUCAAUAUGUGGGAGUUCGACCCGACCGAACACCAGACACUGUGAGAGCUCUUCGACACGACGCACGAAGACGUCUGGAAGGUGUUGUUCAAGGCCACCGAGGUAGCACCGCCCAUAACCGAGGAUCGCGGACUCAGCGCAGAGCGCCCCGCCAAUCCAGUAAGCUCUUUUCUUCUAUAUUUUGCAAGGUGUUCCUUUCCCCAGCAUAUUCGCGGGAGGAAUCUAAGCCUCCAUGCCAAUUUAACAGGACUGGGUAGCGAUAGCAGAGCGGAUUGACUGUCCAGCUCCGCUACCUGAAGAUCCAGCAUCGCCUCUUCUAACGAAGAUGCUGUUUCCGGCACCCUAUGAGGUGCCGGAGAAGAAGGUCAAGAAGAAGGCAACAGGGACUAGGAAGGGUCUCCGGUGCAAGGUUGUAUCGGACAUGACGUUUGAAGACAUCGAGGCGCACUCCUCCAACGAAGACGAGGAGGAGGAAGAAGAAAUCCCUCCCCCCUCCCCAACCGGGGGGCAAAGAAGAGAAAGGUCGCCCCACAAGGGGAGGCUGGGGCGUCCAAGAAGGGAAAGGCUUUCCUUCCGGACCACUCCACCAUGGCCACCUACAGCGGCGAGGAGUGGCUGCCCAGGGACAAGCCCCUGGCUAAGUCGUAACCAUCCGGACACUUUAAUGCUUCCAGUGUGUUUUGAUUUAUUGCUUCUUAUCAUGCCAAACAUGCAUAUGCAGUUCGGCCACAUCCCACAUCGACGCAUCCUCUUCGGAUGGGUCUUUGGGCCCGUCGGCGAUAAACAGUGAUUCACUCCCGACAGCCUCCUCCCCCAGGCCCAUGGACGACACCGAGGUGUUGUCUCAGAGGAUACCGGACCAGGGGGAGACAGUUCUGGAGACGCCCCAAGGCGAAAUCCAAGAUGCCGGGCACAUGGGAGGGAAGACCCCCAUGGAUUCCGAUGGCGGGGGCUGCAGCAAGUCUGGCCCCCAGCCGAAUGCGGCUCCAGAAACCCAAGUGGUUCCGGAUUCAGGAAGGCAGCCUCUCUCUAAGGAGGGCGAGCCGCCUGUACCAAUGACCUCUGUCCAUCCAGAGGCAUCGGAUAACUUGCUAGAAGCGCUUCGCGACACUUCCAUUGAUGAAGAACACCGUACUCUUAUGAGUUUGGUGAUUGAGAAGGUCCGGUCCGCCAAAAGCGGAUUGACCGAAGCCUGCGCGAGCCUCCUAACAGGCUUUGAGGUAAGUAAUAAAAUUGUAAGAAAGUAUCACAACAUAGACAGUAGCCCAUGAUGCUGUAUUUGGUGUUCGAAAAGAAAGGUCGAACAGAGGAUCAAAUAACAUCCGCAGGAGUCUAACAGAAAAUGUCUAUGUGAAUAAGUAGGCGUCACUGCUGGCCACUGCCGCUCAUACUGCGGAGGUCUCCGGACUAAAGCGGGCCUGGAGUAGACCGAGGAAGAGCUCGGCCGCAUGAAGAGGCAGCUGGAUGAAAACAAAGGUACACAAUACCCCGUCUAUAUAUGUAUAAAGGAAAAAAUUGUUGCUUCUAAGCGUCAUGAAUUUUAAUAGGGGCCACGACCGAAGUGGCGGCCCUUAAAAAGGUGCUGACCGAGGCCGAAGACAAAGCGGCCAAGGAGCGCGCCGAGCGCGAGUAGCAAGAGGCCCGAAUCGAUGAGGUCCAGCAAGAGCUCCAGGAUUUCGUCAAAAAAUGCGAUUCCUUGGAGCGUGACUCUAAGACGCAAGAGUCCGAGCUUGCGAAGGCCCUCCAGAGCGCACGAGACACCAAGGACGAAGCCCAAAAGGCCCUCCAGGAGAUUCAGGCGGCCAAGAAGAUAGCGGCGGGUAAGGCAUUCAUUAUGCAAAGCAAGCAUGUGAAGGAGACUGUCCUUUUACUUACCCGAAUUUGGAGCUCUCCAGGAGCAUUCGCAGAUCUGUCACGCAGCAUAUCUGAUGCCGUAGAGUUCUACCGAGCUGAAGAAGGGAGCUCGACAGAGAAGUUGUUCUGAUCUCAGUAUAUUGGGACCGAACAUCCGAUGCCCUUGAGCGACGAGCUGGAGCAACUGGUCGAACUGCACAAGGCGGCCGAACUGGCCAUGAAGGACCUCAUAGUCCGGAUGUGGCUUGCCUAACCCCUACCCAGCAGCUACUUCGGCCUAGUAAAGCGGCUUGUGAGUGCCUGUCCGCGGCUUGAAGUUAUAAAGUGGUCAGUUUGCAUUGAAGGUGUGCGCAUGGCCUUCGCCUGCGCGAAAGUGCACUGGGCAAAGAUGGAUGCCAAGAAGUUAAUGACCGAGGGGCCGCCGAAGGGCAAGGAGCACUGCCACCCCGAGAAGUAUUAUGAUAGUGUCUUGAAGGGCUCCCGCCUUGUGGCGGAGCAAUGUGCUAAGGAUGUAAUAUUUGAGUGAAUGUACUCAUUUGAUCCUGUAAUAUGAAAACAAGUUCGUUUGCACAAUAUAACGCUUGUUGAUUAAAAUUUUACCUUCUGUGUGGCCGUUUAUAAAAUCUGAGAGUUCGCCAGUCGUCGACUUCUGCCCCCAUGUAACUAGUACCGGGGUGUUCGAUAUAAAUCUAAACAUUCUUUAUCCGUUUUUUUGUCCUUUAAGGAGGCGUUUAGUGCAACGACAAGGCAAUAAGAUUAUACGGCUUUAUCACUCUCACUUAGCCAUAGAAGUUAUAUAAUUUUAAAUUUUGGCAUAGCCCCUGGUAUUCGGAAGGCCGAACUUGGGGCGCUAUACACGCCUAAAUCGGACAAGGCCGAUUCCUCGCCCGAAGCAGAAAAAAUCUUUAAGGAUUUGAAACCUCUCGAACAGCGACUAGCUCUCGCCGCAUCAUGACAGUCAGUUUUCGGCUUUCUCUACUGAGGUGCUCGUCUGGAAGAACCAGGACACAAUCGCAGUAGUUGUCCCUGUGCCACCUUAGCCGAUAUAGCGGAACGUAAGGCAGCAAAACAUGGGAGCCGGGGAAACCCAACUAUUGACCCAAGACAUGAUUCGGAGUUGAUGCAUAUAAUGCUAUAAGUUCGGGGUGCUGCAUUGUCGAAAGUGUUCGGACUUUUCCUGCCGUGUUAUGGGGUACAUUGAAGCCCUUGGCGAUCUGAACGUACCAAAAUGUACGGGUGCAAUUUGUAAUAAAUAAACAGACAAGGAAAGAGAUAAAGAAAUGUAAUAAUAAGCUGACGUUAUACAUUAUUUUCCAUUGUUAUGUGAAUAAUACGUCAAGGCGCAUGUAUACAAGUAGUGCAAUAAGCACAAUAGGACUAUUUAACAUGUCCAUAACCAAGGGCGAGCUGCGUGUGGGUAUGUAAAAUAGGUAUAGCGAUCGUUAUCAGAGACCAGCUGGGGAUUCCCUUGUACGUCAAAGCUCCUUGCCUCCUUGGUGUUUCCGUCCAGUGAUGGGUCCGAUAAUCAGGCUAUCGGAAGAGCCUCCAGAAAAUAGGGACCUGAGAACAAAGAAAAGGGGGAAGGUGUACGGGUCCUGGGGCGGUUGAGCCACAUUAUGGACCGCAUUGUCUUUAUGUGAACUAGAUUAUUGACUCUAGUGCACUAGAGUCAAUACUAGUGACACUAUGUUGUCUAUAUAUUCACACAUGUAUUAUGUUUCCAGUUAAUACAAUUCUAGCAUCUAUGGUGGAGGGAGGCACCGCACACGGCUAAGAGAUCAAGAGAUCAAUUGUUGUCUCUAUGUGGUGCCCCCUCCCCCGUAUAUAAAGGAGUGGAGGAGGGGGCCGGCCAAGGGGGGUGGUGCGCCCUAGGGGGGGAGUCCAACUCUCACCGGGAGUAGGACUCCCCCUUUUCCAAUUAGGAGAGGGAGAGGGAAGGAAGAGGAAGGAGGGAGGAAGGAAAGGGGGGGGCGACCCCCCUACCAAUUCGGAUUGGGCUUGGGGGGGCGCGCCCCCUCCCUUGCUCCUUUCCCCGCCUUUCCACUAAGGCCCAAUAAGGCCCAUAUACCUCCCGGGGGGUUCCGAUAACCUCCCGGAGCUCCAGUAUUGUCCCAAUCUCACCUGGAACCUUUCGGGUGUCCAAAUAUAGUCCUCCAAUAUAUCAAUCUUUGUCUCUACCAUUUCGAGACUCCUCGUGAUGUCCGUAAUCACAUCCGGGACUCCGAACAACCUUCGGUACAUCAAAACUCAUAAACUCAUAAUAAAACUGUCAUCGUAACUUUAAGCGUGCGGACCCUACGGGUUCGAGAACUAUGUAGACAUGACCGAGACACGUCUCUGAUCAAUAACCAAUAGCGGAACCUGGAUGCUCAUAUUGGCUCCUACAUAUUCUACGAAGAUCUUUAUCAGUCAAACCGCAUAACAACAUACAUUGUUCCUUUUGUCAUCGGUAUGUUACUUGCCCAAGAUUCGAUCGUCGGUAUCUAAAUACCUAGUUCAAUCUCGUUACCGACAAGUCUCUUUACUCGUUACGUAAUGCAUCAUUCUGUAACUAACUCAUUAGCUACAUUGCUUGCAAGGCUUAUAGUGAUGUGCAUUAUCUAGAGGGCCCAGAGAUACCUCUCCGAUAAUCGGAGUGACAAAUCCUAAUCUCGAAAUACGCCAACCCAACAUGUACCUUCGGAGACACCUGUAGAGCUCCUUUAUAAUCACCAGUUACGUUGUGAUGUUUGGUAGCACACAAAGUGUUCCUCCGGUAAACGGGAGUUGCAUAAUCUCAUAGUUAUAGGAACAUGUAUAAGUCAUGAAGAAAUCAAUAGCAACAUACUAAACGAUCAAGUGCUAAGCUAACGGAAUGGGUCAAGUCAAUCACAUCAUUCUCCUAAUGAUGUGAUCCCGUUAAUCAAAUGACAACUCAUGUCUAUGGUUAGGAAACUUAACCAUCUUUGAUUAACGAGCUAGUCAAGUAGAGGCAUACUAGUGACACUAUGUUGUCUAUGUAUUCACACAUGUAUUAUGUUUCCGGUUAAUACAAUUCUAGCAUGAAUAAUAAACAUUUAUCAUGAAAUAAGGAAAUAAAUAAUAAGUUUAUUAUUGCCUCUAGGGCAUAUUUCCUUCACAUAUAUAUAUCAUAUGCUGAAGUGGCUGUCCAGCGCCCUGUGGGCGGUGGUUCUUGUUCUUCUCCGGCGUCGUCGUCCAUACUGUCGAUGUCUUUGGAGUCGAAAUCAAGCAUGUCGGUUAAGUCGUCGAUAGUGGCUAUUAAGUGGAUGGUGGGUGGGGAACGAAUUUCUUCAUCGUCCGCUUCCCACUCAAGCCGGACAUAGUUAGGCCAAGAGUCUCCUGACAGGGAGAGAGAUUUCAACGAAUUUAGCACGUCGCCCAAGGGCGAGUGCUGAAAGAUAUUCGUGGAGGUAAACUCCAUGAUCGGCACCCAAUCAGGUUCAGUGGGUGCAGAUAUACGCGGUUCGGAGCCUGCAGCCGGCGACGAGUCCAAGGGUCCGAUGACACAGACCUUAUUGGAGGCGAAGUCUGUGUUCGGCUCUACCGCCGAUGAGUGUGCAGCCUCCGUGGUGGGGCCUAUCCACCCGUCCUCGGAUGGCACGAUCUGCUCCAGAUUAAGAGCUGGGGCAGCUGCAGGUGCAAUCUCCCGAACACCGUCCGAUGGCAGAUCUAAGUCAUGCUCAUCAUGACUGUUCGGCGCACCUGUCAUGGGCUUGAAUCCAUCGAAGAUCAAGUCUCUGUGGAUGUCGGCGGUGUAGUUCAGGCUUCCAAACCUGACCCGAUGGCCAGGGGCAUAGCUAUCGAUCUGCUCCAGAUGGCCAAGCGAGUUGGCCCGCAGUGCGAAGCCACCGAAUAUGAAGAUCUGUCCGGGAAGGAAAACCUCACCAUGAAUCGCAUCGUUGUGGAUGAUCAACGGAGCCAUCAAGCCUUAUCGUGACGACACAGUGGAACUCUCAAUGAAAACACCAAUGUCGGUGUCAAAACCGGUGGAUCUCGGGUAGGGGGUCCCGAACUGUGCGUCUAAGGCUAAUGGUAACAUGAGGCGGGGGACACAAUGUUUACCCAGGUUCGGGCCCUCUAUAUGGAGGUAAUACCCUAUUUCCUGCUUGAUUGAUCUUGAUGAUAUGAGUAUUACAAGAGUUGAUCUACCACGAGAUCAUAGAGGCUAAACCCUAGAAGCUAUCCUAUGAUUAUGAUUGUUGUUGUCCUACAGACUAAACCCUCUGGUUUAUAUAGACAUCGGAGGGGGCUAGGGUUACACAGAGUCGGUUACAGAGAAGGAAAUCUACAUAUCCGAAUUGCCAAGCUUGCCUUCCACGCAAAGGAGAGUCCCACCUGGAAACGGGACGAAGUCUUCAAUAUUGUAUCUUCAUAGUCCAACAGUCCGUCAUAAGUAUAUAGUCCGGCUAUCCGAGGACCCCUUAAUCCAAGACUCCUUCAGCCGACACUACCCCCAUAGCCGCCGCAACCGCCCGUCCACCUCCUUCGUCUUCGUCCAGCACCAGCCCGUCAUCAGCGUCGCCGUCAUCUUCCCCGACCACUUCGUCUACUCCGACCACCGUUGGUGACAUUGGCCUCGCGCCGAUGGACGCCACACUCAUCUUCGAGUUUUUCUCUGUUGGCCCCUCCGACUUCUCCGACAUGGCGUACAGCUCAUGCAGGUCCCAGUCUCCGCAUGCCUGGUGCUGGCAACACCGAUGCAUGCCUUCAUCCACGACGUGUCCCUGGGCCUGGCCAGCCUGGUCGGCACUUCCUUCGACUUCGUCUUCGUCCACCUAUGCAUGCCCGGUGCUGGCAACAAUGGUGCAUGCCUUCAUCCACGAUGUGUCCCCGGGCUUGGCAAGCCCGCCGCGAAGCGUCGUCAACAACAUCUUCUUCCCGGUGCACCACUACUUCGACACCACUGCGCCCAUGCUAACUCGGCCCCCCUUGCGCCCGCGGUUCCACAUCGACUUCCUCGACACCGGCCACCCCGACUCGACAUCGACCACGACAUUCUUCACACGGCUACCUCGACCACGGCUACACCACUCACGCGAUCGGCUACAUCGACAAACGACACAAAGGGCUAUCGCCUGAUUGAGCAACCUCGUCGGUUUCCACUCCAGCCACAACUCUGCGAUGCAUCGACCGUNNNNNNNNNNNNNNNNNNNNNNNNNNNNNNNNNNNNNNNNNNNNNNNNNNNNNNNNNNNNNNNNNNNNNNNNNNNNNNNNNNNNNNNNNNNNNNNNNNNNNNNNNNNNNNNNNNNNNNNNNNNNNNNNNNNNNNNNNNNNNNNNNNNNNNNNNNNNNNNNNNNNNNNNNNNNNNNNNNNNNNNNNNNNNNNNNNNNNNNNNNNNNNNNNNNNNNNNNNNNNNNNNNNNNNNNNNNNNNNNNNNNNNNNNNNNNNNNNNNNNNNNNNNNNNNNNNNNNCUCCAGUCUCACCGUCUGCGUCGCUACCGUUGUGACUGCGGGGGAUGUUGAGUAUCGUGAUUAUUAGGAAAGACGAGAUAAACUAGGAUUUGUUCUAGCUUGUCUUGUACUCCAAGUAGAUCAUUGUACUCCUAUAUAUAUGCCCACGAGGCUCAAACAAUAGAACAAACAACUAUUCCACCAGAUCCCUCUCUCCCUUCUAACAUUUACGUUAUUUGAACAGGUGACCAACUUUAUAUUUCCCCGCAACCAAGGUGAUGAACGAAGACGAACCAACAUGUAGUUGGAUGGUUAGGAGGAUGAGAGUAUUCUUGGCCCACUCGGGUUUAAGUCUCAGUGGGAGAAGAUGUUCCCGUCGACUACAAGACGGCUACGGUGACUUUGAGUGUAUGCUUGUAUAUAUGAGUGUUUAGAGCAACUCCAACGGGGCGACCCAUUUCGUUGGCCGCCGUCCGUUCGGGUCUACGCGGACAAAAGUGGAGGCCCAACGCGCCGAUCCAAACCCAAAACGCGUCCGCUUCGCGUUCGCGCCGACGCAUUUGCGUCCCAAAUUUGCGCCCCAAAUGCAUCAGCACGGAGGCGGAACAGACGCCGCGCGCGCCUUCUUGACGUCCGCCGCGGCCCCACCUGGCGGUUGCUCAACUACCCGCCCUCUCGCGGGUCAGCUUAAUUUAUGACCCUGAGCCCACGCAUCAGCAACGGCGGUCGUCCUUUUUUAAGCCGACCAUGUGGCGGGGCCCUCCUCAUCCAUUUUCCGUCCCCAUCGAGGCCAUGCUCGCUCCGCCGUCGCUGGCAAGACAACCCUAGCCACCCCAGCCGCCCAAAUGGGGCUCUUCUCCGGCAGCAGCAGCAAGCCGAAGGGCAAGGUUCCCGUCGUCCCCUUCCCCAUGGAGUUCACCCCGCCUCCGCCUGCGCCUGCUUGCCGGCAAAGGCAGCGGGUGAACGUGCCCGUGCACCAGGCGGAGUGGCACUGGCACCACUGCGUGCUGCUGCCGUACCCCGACGUGACGCUGCCGCACGACUGGCAUCUGAAUCCGGAAAGGAUCCCAGUGUCGGCGGCGCCGCGGUCGGCUAGGGAGCAUGCGGAGGAGGUGCAUCGCCGGCAGGCGCUCCUGACGCGGGAGCAGCGCCGCGAUGAGGCGUACGCCUUCGACUCGCUCAACUGGGCGCGCUGGUUCGCUUCGAGCACGAGGGGGCGAGGCAGCGCGACGUGCGGAGGUCGCCCACAGUGUGCCGCCGCCGCCGCUCAUCAUCAGGGAGGAAGACCAGGCAGCACGGGACGCCUACCAGGCGGCCCUUGCGGCCGUCUACCGGGAGAGCGAGGAGGACGAGCGGCGCAAGGCGGAGGCGGCAGAAGAAUAAGAAGCUCGGUACGAGGCGGCCAUGGUGUAGGCCAUGGCCCUCUCCGCGGCCGGCGACUGCGUGGUGCUGCCGGUGGCCCCGCCGUCCCCUCCCCAACGCCUCGUCAAGGCCGACCCGGAGCCGCAGCCACAACCGGAGCCGGAGCUGGGCUCCACCGCGAGCUUCUCCUGGACGGGAAUGGUGCGCGAGUGGGUGUCGGCGCCACCGGUUUGGAUGGGGGCGACCCCCGGCGCAGGAGGCGGCAUACCUCGAGCACGGGCGCCAGCGACGGCUGGCUGAGGAGCGGUGUCAAGGCGAGUACGAGGAGAUGCUCGAGCGCGACCUCGAGGAGGAGGCGCGCGAGACUCAGGAGNNNNNNNNNNNNNNNNNNNNNNNNNNNNNNNNNNNNNNNNNNNNNNNNNNNNNNNNNNNNNNNNNNNNNNNNNNNNNNNNNNNNNNNNNNNNNNNNNNNNNNNNNNNNNNNNNNNNNNNNNNNNNNNNNNNNNNNNNNNNNNNNNNNNNNNNNNNNNNNNNNNNNNNNNNNNNNNNNNNNNNNNNNNNNNNNNNNNNNNNNNNNNNNNNNNNNNNNNNNNNNNNNNNNNNNNNNNNNNNNNNNNNNNNNNNNNNNNNNNNNNNNNNNNNNNNNNNNNNNNNNNNNNNNNNNNNNNNNNNNNNNNNNNNNNNNNNNNNNNNNNNNNNNNNNNNNNNNNNNNNNNNNNNNNNNNNNNNNNNNNNNNNNNNNNNNNNNNNGCCGACACUGCCCCCGCCGGAAUAGCUGCCCCCGGUCUACAUCGCCGCCGCAUGGGCCACGGCGUUCCCCUGGGCCGACCCUCCGCCGACGCUCAUCGACCUCACUGACCCCGAGGACGACGACGACGACGACGCCUAGGGUGCGUUGGACAGCGCGCCGCCUCGUAGUUAGGUUGUUUUUAAAUUUUUUUUAAUGCUAUUGUGGACGCGUGGACUCUCGCCGGCCUUCCUGGUCGGCUUUAAUGUUUAAUUAAAUUAUUUUCAGUUGAAAUAUGCAUGCACAGUUUUUUUUUUGUCGGCACCGUCAAAAUGGGUCGGGCGCGCGUUGGGCGCAUACGCCGACCCAAACGCGAAAGCGGACGUCCGUGUCCACCCUGACCGAUCAAAACGGAUAAAAAGCGGACGAAAUCGCUGUCCGUUUGGGUUGGCCCGUUGGAGUUGCUCUUAUGUUUGUAGUGUGUUAAAAAGAAAAGUUGAUCAACCAAGGAUUUGCAGCGAACUACUCGCGGAAUUGGGUUGGACGAAAACAGGGAGCGCCCACACAGAUCUCCAACAAAACGGAGGGCACACUCACGCACAUGCCCCUACGUGUUAUCCUACGCACGAACACGCUCCUUGGCUCUCUCCCAACCCCGAUCGAUCUUUAUCCAGUUGCGGGGCAGUGGUCAUCAAAAAGUAUCAGAGGCGAGUCACGUGGAUUGGUUUUUACUAUAUGCGGGCCAUCUGUGCUCUGCCGCGUCGCCCACCUUACGCUCGUCUGAAACCCACGGUCCCCGCACGCCGGUUUCGCGGUUUCUUGCAGCCUAUAAAUCCGGCCGGAGCACCCAGCUCUGCCACAUCCCAUCUCACACAACCUCUACUCAUCUUACCUGACACACUUCACUUCCUUCGGAUCUCGUGCCACCAAGCUCUGCUCCCGCCAAGAUGUCGACGGUGACCCGCGCCUACCUCGACCAGAGGCUCGCCGCCGCCAAGCGCUGCUCCAAAGGUAACGGUUCGGGCCUCAGGCCAGCACUGCUCUGCUCGUAUAUCCCACCCAUUGCAGCCUAUGCUUGUGCUGAAACCUGACCUGGAUUAACAUUUCCCUACGUUGAUCCGAAACUGCAGAGGCUGCCAUGGCAGGAGCCAAGGCGGCGGCCGUCGCCACCGUCGCUGCCGCAGUGCCCACAGUAAGUAGCCGUUCAGUUCUUCAGUUCCAGAGUUCAUAGCACAUAUCUCAUGAAUGCGUCACCUGUAAUUUAAGCUGGCGAGCGUGAGGAUGCUGCCGUGGGCGAAGGCACACCUGAACCCGACCGGGCAGGCCCUCAUCAUCUCCACCGUCGCCGGGAUGGCCUACUUCAUCGUGGCCGACAAGACCAUCCUCUCCAUGGCCAGGAAGCACUCCUUUGAGGACGCGCCGGAGCACCUCAAGAACACCUCCUUCCACUAAUUAGACUAUAAAAUAGAUCCAUUAGUAGUCCGUAAUAGUCUGCACGCCGGACUGGAAGUGUCUGCUGAAAGAUGGUAUUGUAAUGUUCAGGCAGCACUUCUAUGAAAUCAGGCGAGUGGUGUAGUACUGCGCUUCUUUGCCCGCAAGAACUUAUCUGAUGAAGUGAUCAUGUAUCCACCCAGUAACCUUGAAUUAAUAAUGACUUGCAUUUGUACAACUCAGGCUCACCUGCCAUCACUCAUCUUACAUUUUCUUGUUUGUGAUUAUCGUUUGAAAUGGGACACUGGGAGAGCAUGCACACGGCCGACACAACACCGCAUCAUUUGAUCCCCUACUCCUCAACUGUUCUGCGGUGUACGUCAGGAUCAUGCCACCCCACUUUGUUAAAUCUUUUGCGGACCGGGCUGCGGGAGGCAGGUGGCUCUGUAGGGUGGCCCCAGUAAUCUUUCACUUCAAAUGUUGUGUACUGCUAUUUUGAACAUUUGUAAUGAUAAAUGUGAGUUUAAAUCGCCACUUUUCAUUUAGUAUAUACAUCCGAAUGUACGUACUCCGUAUUGAAAUCUCUAAAAGGGCUUAUAUUUAAGAACGGAUGGAGUAAUAAUAAGUAAAAGUUGUAAAAAAUUAAAUUUGGCAUGGUGACGUUGGUACAUGAACUUGUCAUGGAAAUCUCACACGAUUUCUCGAAACGUGGAAAAAACACUUGAUUAGAAAUGGCCCCUUUUGGCACAGUGUCCGAAUAUUGGUACAUGCUUAGUAGUUUUUUUAUGAUAAAAAUGCUGGCAAUGGAUCCACAUCUCAGUCGAUUCCUGGAGCUAAGCAGGGUGGUUUUCCUACUGGGCUCCUUCCAUCCCCAGUGAGGCCUUGUUCGGUUAAGCCACUCCCCAAGUGGAUUGGAGUGGAAUAGAGGGAAUUUGGGGGGAAUUUGAACUAGAUGGGAUUUAAUCCAUGCCAAUCCCUCUCAUUUGCCAUGGAACCGAACAAGGCCUGAGGAAAACCAGACCCCAUUCACGAAUCACAUGAGAGUAUGAAAUCUGAUGACUCAUUACAUACCACUUUGCUCAUUGAGUCCAUGGCUCGUGAGAUGGAUCAUGAUGAAAAAGUGAGCCCAUGUGUUGGAAAAGCUCUUACUACUUUAUGCAUGAGUGGUGAAAAAAAAACUUAUUCUGAUGUGGUAAACACUCUUCCUAAGGUUGUGGAGGUGGAUGAGCAAAAUGACUCAAAUCUGAAAAUCAUCAAUGACUACAUGGUCGAGUUGCCUGACGUUCAAGUGGACAUUGAGGUGAUUCCUACACCUCCCUUAGUUACGGAAGAGAAUCUGCGUUUCAGUCUGCGCAAUGUGCAAAACAAGAUGGCUAGUGUGGAGGAAAAAGCUAUGGCAGUGGCUAAGAAGAGGGACAUUGAAGGUACUCCCAGAGACCUCAACUCUUUUGAUGCAUUAUCAAAUUCUGAACUUAUUCUUAGAGCAGUCAAGAUGGGAGUUAAUAUUCCAGGUGCAGAUUUUGAUAGUGUGGAUAUUCUAAGGGAAUUGAAAAAUGUAGAAUCAGGGAUAGUUUGAAUGNNNNNNNNNNNNNNNNNNNNNNNNNNNNNNNNNNNNNNNNNNNNNNNNNNNNNNNNNNNNNNNNNNNNNNNNNNNNNNNNNNNNNNNNNNNNNNNNNNNNNNNNNNNNNNNNNNNNNNNNNNNNNNNNNNNNNNNNNNNNNNNNNNNNNNNNNNNNNNNNNNNNNNNNNNNNNNNNNNNNNNNNNNNNNNNNNNNNNNNNNNNNNNNNNNNNNNNNNNNNNNNNNNNNNNNNNNNNNNNNNNNNNNNNNNNNNNNNNNNNNNNNNNNNNNNNNNNNNNNNNNNNNNNNNNNNNNNNNNNNNNNNNNNNNUGGGAAGAAAAAAGAGAGAAAGGUUAAUAUUGUUAUAUCUGGACCUACUACCAGAAGUCAAAAAGGGGGUGUUUCCUUACAAGAUGAUAAGGGUAACUCUACUUUGCCUCCUAGUAGAGUUACCAAGAGGGGGGGGGGGUCAAAAAGAAAAAAAUGAAUGGUCUAUUUUUGAAUUGGAGAGGAGCAGGUAAGAAAGGGAUGACUACCUGCUUCUCUGAAAUCAUUAGAGAUCAUUCCCUCAACUUUAUUGGCCUCCAAGAGACUAAGAAAACCAAAUUUACUCCUAAGUACUUGAGGAAGAUUGACCCCUUUGAGAGAUUCAAUUUGAACUGGGUCCCCUCCAUUGGAAAAUUGGGUGGGAUUUUGUGUGGGGUCAAAAAGAGAAACCUUAGACAGUGUUGCAUGGACAGUGGGUAAAUAUCUCCUUCAAGUUAAUGUGUUUGAUGUAAAGCUAAAAUGCAUGUGGGCCCUCAUAGUUGUAUAUGGGGCUGCCCACGAUGAAAAUAAAGAAGAAUUCCUAGCUGAGUUACCUCGGUCUGCUCCCAUAUUAGAUUACCCUAUAUUAUGGGUGGUGAUUUCAACAUCCCGCGGGAUAGUAGCGAAAAAAAUAAGCACUUGACCCGUUCUCAUUAUGUGGAUAAAUUCAAUGAUGUCAUUCACUCCUUGAACCUACAUGAGAUAGAUAUGGGAGGAGGUAAAUAUACUUGGACCAACAACCAAAAACACCCCACCUUAGAGAAACUAGACAAAGUUCUGAUGAGCUUUGAUUGGGAAGAUCUCUUCCCUCUAGUCACGGUUUGCAAGUCAGUAAGAGAUAUGUCAGAUCACAAUCAUUUACUGUUAUCCUCGAGUCCUAUGAAAACAAGCCCCCUUCACCAUCGUGAAUUUAGAUUCGAGCGUAGCUGGCUAAAAAAUGAGGUUUUUUUAUCAUAAAGCUAAGAGCAUUUGGGAACAGUAGUUAACUCGAGUGACCCGAUUGAUAUCCUUAACAUUAAGUUGAAACGUAUCAAGAAAUACUUUAAAGGUUGGGGAUCCCACUCCUUUGGCCAUGCUAGAAAAAGAAAGCAAAAGAUAAAGGAGGAGUUAGAAGAAAUUGAGAAAAAGGAAGAGGUCGGACCCCUUGAUCCUGAUAUGUAUGAAAAAAGAACUACCUUAUGUGCUGAGCUUAAUGACAUCCUUGCUGAUGAGGAACUCUUUUGGCUACAACACUCGAACGAGCGUUGGCUGCUCAAAGGAUAUCAAAAUACUGCCUUUUACCAUCGCGUUGCUAAUGGGAGGAAAAGAAAAAAAUGCUAUCCAUUCUCUAACGAAUGGGGAGGUGGUAAUUGAGGGCACAAAAAAUCUCCUAGCCCAUGUCACCUCCUUCUAUAAGGAUCUGUUUGGCCCAGCCAGAGGAAAUCUUUUCCUUCUGUCCCUAGAUACCUGGACUGAGGGAGAAAAACUUACUAGCGAAGAUAAUUUCCUACUCACUAGUGAGUUUAUAGAGGAGGAAGUUAAAAAAGCCUUGUUUGGCAUGGAGAGCAACAUAACCCUUGGUCCGGAUAAUAUACCGGCAGGAUUCUAUAAACACUGCUGGGAUUUUGUAAAAAAAUGACAUAAUGUGUCUUUUUAAAGCUUUCCAUGACAACACGUUGGAUAUUGAAUGCUUGAAUUAUGGAGUGAUUACCCUACUCCCAACAAUGAAUGGGGCUAAAAAAAUCCAACAAUAUCGUCCCAUCUGCUUACUUCGGUGUCCCUAUAAGCUAAUCACCAAGGUGCUUGAUAAUAGGGUGGCUGUUUAUGUUGAUAAGCUAAUCAGCCGGCAUCAGAAUGCAUUCAUUAAGCACAGAAACAUAAUGGAUGGGAACCUUACUCUCCACGAGGUGUUUCACCACACACAUCACAAGAAAAAGUGGGGUUGGUCUUGAAACCGGACUUUGAAAAAGCCUACGACAAGAUUAAUUGGGAUUUCCUUCUGGAAUAUCAUCGUAACCGUGGCUUUGGUAAAACCCGGUGUGGAUGGGUGGAGAAAAUUUUACACAAUGGCACAGUGAGUAUUAGACUAAAUAAUGAAGUGGGCCCUUAUUUCCAAAGCCACAAAGGAGUACGCCAAGGCGGCCCCUAUUCUCCUUUUCUAUUCAACCUAGCUGUUGAGACCCUACCGAAGAUGAUCCUUAAUGCUCAAAAAGAAAAACUCCUUACUGGGUUGGCUCCUAAUCUGAUUGAAUGGGGAGUAGCUAUCUUACAAUACGCAGACGAUACUGUGAUAUGCAUAGAACAUAAUAAAGAUGCUGUUGUAAACUUGAAACUUCUGCUAUAUAUGACCGAGCUUAUGUCAGGCCUAAAAGUCAAUUUCCUCANNNNNNNNNNNNNNNNNNNNNNNNNNNNNNNNNNNNNNNNNNNNNNNNNNNNNNNNNNNNNNNNNNNNNNNNNNNNNNNNNNNNNNNNNNNNNNNNNNNNNNNNNNNNNNNNNNNNNNNNNNNNNNNNNNNNNNNNNNNNNNNNNNNNNNNNNNNNNNNNNNNNNNNNNNNNNNNNNNNNNNNUGAGGACACGCUGGCCUUUUAUGCGGAGUUGUUUAAUUGUAAUAUUGGGAACUUCCCAAUGAAAUACUUGGGAGUCCCAGUCGGUUAUUCAAAUCUUCGUGUCUUGGAGUGGGACUUUGUUGAUGAAAGAUUCCUUAAAUGCUGCGAAGCCUGAAUUGGGAAUGCAGCAUCCUCGGGAGGAAGACUUAUACUACUCAAUUCCUCACUUACGAGCAUUGUGUACUGAUACGUCCAUUUUGCAUCAUGCAGCAUCCUCGGAAUGUAGAAGAAUAAUACAAUGAAAGUGGCAUAGUCUUUCUUCUCUUCCAGCAAUUGAUUUCCCACUCUUGCUCAUAUGCAUUCCACUAUGAUGAAGCAGGUCCAAGUCUCUCGCUUGACAGCAGAGUAGGGCAGGGUGUGACUCGGUGUUAACCUUGGCCUGAAAUGGACAAAAAUUAUGAUAUCAUAGGGAGAACAACAUUAAUAACAUAUGAAAAUACCCAUUAUACAUAGGGGAUUACCUAAAAUUGGUGAUCAUAUUUCAUUGCCUGUGCAUGCAAUCGCCAUUUACAACAUUUUGUUUGCCUACAAUGCGCCCUAAGCAUUUUUUGGUUAAUCUUUUUUAGUGAUAAACUCAAACUCCCUUCUAUAGCCAUAAGUUGCAAGUGCUUAUCUACAGUCCUCCACGGAAUCAAUGAUAGUCUCUGCUUUCAUAUUAGAGUCGCCCUACCUAAGGAGAUUACAGACCUAUCAUCUUCUUCUUCUAGACUGUGAGAUGCCAUUGCCUAUUCCUUGUCGUCGUCAGUCAAAUAGCCAGCCACAUACACAUGUCGAUAAGUUUUCUCAUCAUUAGUGGGUAAAUCUUACCAAGUCUAAUUGUUAACAGCAUGAAACAACAUCCACAUGGUCCUCAUAGACACGUGUCUACCAAACAUCAACAACAAACAAUCAUCAUCAGCUACGUCAAUAAAUUUCUCUAGUGUCAUAGUGCCUCAUCAGGUAAUGCUCGUUGGGAUGAUAGUAAUACUUCUCAAAUUGCUUAAUUCGGUCCUUCUGACUUACUAACAUAGCGUCUAUAGGCAAUUGAUAGUGAAACCCGCCACUAAUUUCCAAGCUACCACCGGUCAAGCGAUGGGUGUAACACCCAUGCAGAAUUUUCAAGAACAUCAAGAAGUUGUUUGGAGGUACAAUCCAACGCAAAGUAGAAAAUCAUGAGUGCGAUAUUCGAAUAGAAAAAAUGUGAAUCGUCAAAAAGGUUCAAGAUAAUGGUGGAUUUCUUACCCCCAUGGGCGAAACGAUGCUUUCACUAGGCUCCAGAGGCCCUGGCCGUCGUAAAGAUCUGUCUGAGCGGAGAUCAUGAGAACAUCGAGGUGGCGGUGGUUGCGGAACAGUGGGAGAACGUGACUCGAAGUGGUGGGAAGAAGAGGGCCCCUACCCACCAAUAUUUAGGAACGCGCCACUAUCGACGGCUAGAGGUGGCCCACAACAGACAAAGACAUCAGGUUGGCAAAAAUGGAGAUUAUGGCCUCAACUACGUUCCCCCACAUCGGUUGGAAUGGUCAAAGGGCUCCUUAUUAAUAUUGGUGGCACGAUGUCAAAGUGGAAAAAUGGAAAUUGUGGCCUCAACGGUGUGCCUCCACAUCGGCCGGAGUCUUCUCGUCGCUGCGGUUGAUGUGGCGAAGUAGUGGGUCCCAGAUGGAAUGAGAUGAUGUGUGGGGCAUACAUCUAAUUCUUUUGCAAUCGCAAGUGGCGUGGACUAAAAUACGGAAGUUUGAGUGACAAGACUCAAAUAUACAACUUUGGCAGCGGCACAAACCUAUUUUUCCAUAAAUAUAAUAUUAAAAAAAUCCCUCAUGGGUUUGAUGAUAUUGAUUGGAAAUGUAUAUGUUCAUACUUCUUUCCUAUAAACUAUAUCAAAGCGUAAUCAGACAAAAGUAAUAUACACUCUAUUUUGAAAUGUAGGGAGUAAGCCAUAUCUAUAAAAUAUCAUGACCAUGGCUAUUGAUGAUUUCUCUAUACUACUCAUGUCAUUUAAUAGGAUUUAUUGGCAUUUAUUUGGAUAAGGAUAACCUUUUGUUGUGGGUCGGAUAAGGAUAAGCUUGAUGCAAAAGAAACUGAAACAUGCCGUUUAAUGACAUUAAUUGGAUAAGGACAACCUUAAUGCAACCACAUCUACAUAAGACGACUGAACGGUACAAAUCAUGACCACAAAAACCAUAUCGAUUGAUAGACUAUUGCAUAAUUACAUAUUCUCAGUUGUUCUGUGUUCUUAGGCAAUGACAAAAAAUAGCAUCUUCCAAGUGAUCAUAGCGUUACUCAUGGUGCAAGUCUGCUUGCUCAUGAUGAUGGCAGCACCGGCAGCACAUGCAGCUGCUAGACCAGUGGGGUACAAUCCAGUGUGCUGUCCUAGGAACAUUUACUGUUGCGGGUUCGGUGGCGCAUUGGCCAAUGCACCCGCACCAUCCAUUGAGCCUUGAUGUGUGGUGUUAUUGUCUCCUCGAGGUAGUAAGCUCGACAUAUAAAUGAUAUAUGUAGUUUUAUUGUCUCAUGUGUUACUUGUUCCUGAAUAUUUGUGAUGCUAUUUUCAAGAAGAUAUUGUACUAGCUACUUAUGUAAUAAAAUGGGAGGAGAUUAUUAUAUAUAUUGUGUUAAACAAAGAGAUUCAAAUUUAUGUUUACGUUAUUCCUUUUGGAAACAAGAUUACUUGGACACAUUGCUUUAUGGCAAAAAACCAGUGGUGAGGUGCGUGCCUAUGAGAAUUUCUGUUUUAUCGUUCCGUUGGUCCUCCAUUUGUCGAGAUUGUCUGGGUCGUGGCAACAUGUUUUAUUUUUCACAGAGGUCAUAACUUUUUGUAGCAUUUAUUGAGUGAUGGAGUACAUCACCAAUUAGUAGAAACCAACUACUGUUGGCGAUGCUUGUUUAUGAAUCAAGGGAUCCACACUCUCUUCCUUUUUUGCAAGAAGGCCGAGGCCAUGUAUUAAAAUUGUCCAACCCUUACAACACCAUCCUUACAACAGAAGAAAAAUAGAAAACAUAUCCUGGGUUAUAUCAAGGGCGUCUUCCUUCCGGACUUAUACGGCGUGAGCAAAGCUCGAUGUCGCCUUUGGAUUUCCAGAACACCUUAGAGCCAGGGUAAAUCAUUCUCUACAUUUUUCAAGUGAGUGCUCAAUUCCUAAAAAACAGUCAAAUAACUAGUAUAUAAAUACAACUUUUUAUUCUUUGAUGGAGCACGAAGGGAUUGUUUGCCGUGGAUCCUACAUGUGUAAUCUAUAUAUUAAUCUAUUACUAUACUAAUUAGAGACACCUUCGAAAUUCCCAUGGUUAAUCAGGAAAUACGAACUGCUCAUCUGGUGGGACCAAAUUAUUGCGGUGUAGAUAUUUUAAUUUUUUCUCACAUUAAUAAAAAAUAAACAGUAAUUAUAAGCCACACAUCUGGUGGGACUAAGUUAUUACCGCUAGAAUUUUGCUCCAUUCUAGUAAGCACAAAUAAUAAUCACUCAAAACUUUGUUGUAAAAAUAGAACCCUACAAAAUUACAGUUCAUUCUCUAGUCUCAACAAUUCAAAAGAAGAAAGAAAACUCCCAUCUCAAUAUGGGCACUACACAGUUUCUUCCUCUCCCCAUUAAGAAGAUCAUCAACCGCAAACAAUCUCCAUAUAUUCCAUGGCCACGCAUAGCACUGUCCAUUGGAUUUGCGAUCGAUGGUCUUGGUCGUUGGCGGAGGCCUUCCUCAAUGGUGUGGCCGAACUCGAUCUGCGGGUGAGGUCAAGAUACCGCUUUGGUCCUAGAGGUUUGGUAUAGGGUCUCACAUAAGGAAAAUGGACGAAAAAUUAAGUGAAGGCAGAGAACCCAUAGACAAAGAGAAGCGAAGUUUGUGCCCCAAGCUACUCACUAUGCGCACGUGGUUUCGACACUAGAUGCUGUUUGUUAUUACCAACCAUUUGUAGGCAGUUUGAUUGUUCUAACUAAACCUGGGCAAACGCCUGGUCGGGCCGGGCUUGUAAAAGCCUAACCUUCAUUUCUCAAGCCUGGCUCGAAGCCCAAAAUACUCUCUGUUUUCAAGACCGAGCCCGGCCCGAAAUCAAGCCCGGCUCGGACGCUGUUUUUAUUGUACGCACGUGCAAGCCUGGCCCAAAGCCCGAAAGCCCGGCCCGAAAUACAGAUAAAGAGAAGCCUGAGCUCGGCCUGAACUAUCUUCCAGGUUGCAAAACAAGGCCCGAGCCCACCCCGAAUGUCAAGCCCGGCUGGGCCCUGUCUGUUCAUGCCCGAGUUUAGUUCUAACCCCCACCAGUCUCGGCCUCUGCAUCAAGCGAUGCACACAGUCAUUUAUUAAAAAGUAUCGGGUCUCAAAGUAUGAGUAACAUCUCAAAUUGCCAAACAAGAACAAGAAAUCAAACAAAUAGUUACAACUGGUAAAAUAGGACUAUGCCUGAACACCUAUCUUAUUAACGGACCACCAUCUAAACAGGUUGUAGUAGCCCGUGCAACCAUCUCCCAUGGGUUGCACCCAAAAACCAUAAGCCCGCUCUCUACCACACGGUGCAGUAAUGACCACUUAGGGAUCCAGCCAGUUGCCUGGUAGAUAACCUGCAAAAAGCCUGUGCUAUUUGUCUUGUUAAAAACACAAUCAUUCCGAUAGUUCCAAAUAGCACAAAUUAAUGCACAAACUAAUUUGUGUCGUAAUAUUGGGCUCAACCCCACCUAGCCAGUUACCAAACAAAUUGGAGAUAAUAUUAAGAGGAGGUACGUUCAAUGACACUUGUAUUGUUCGUCACGAUAAGUUGGAUAUGGGGCAAGUGAGAGACAAAUGUUGAGUCGUUUCAUCAUGAUCGCAAAACUACACCGUUUACUCCCCUCCCACCUACGUUUUAAGCCAACUCUAACCGAUCCCCUACAAAAUAGAUGAGGAUCCGUCCGAGCAAAGCUUGGUGGAUUAUAUUUACUCCACUAACUUUUGGCCGGACAUAGUCGAUCCUCUAAAUAUAACAGAGUAAAACUUUUAAUUGGCUUAUUAUGCAAUUCGUUGAACAUGGUGUGCGUCUGCUUGGGGACUCCGACAUGGCGAGCACCCCGACGGCGAGGAACACGGAUUAAACACAUAGCUGACCAGGAUGCAGAUGUUGACAAAAACUGCCACCAAGAUGGCAAGCCAGCCAUUGCCAAUUGCAGCGUGUUGCUUCUGCUGGCAAGCUAAACAUUGCUAAUCACCGGCCAGCACGGCUUGCUACUCGCAUGAUCCUGCUCGUCCUGCACCCCGCCUCGUCCCCCAUCGCGUGUUGCAGCUCCUGUUGCUUCCCCCUGAGGCCUUGUUUGGUAGAGGUGGAUUGAGGAGGUUUUGAGAGGUGGGGAUUGAAGAUGAUUUGGUGAAUCCUUCCCUUUCACCCAAUCCUCUUAAAUUCCCCCAUUUCCCCAAACCCCUCACAUACCCCUACUAUUUGGUACAUAGGGAUUGGUACACUGGGUUUGCAAGAUUACUAUACUAUAGUUAAAAAUGCAAUUUUGACAACUUCCAAAGCUCAAAGAAUCAGUGGCACUCAGAAUCUUUGCUGCAGCCUCAGAUGAUUAAUAUUACCAAGCUAACAUUAAGCAGUGGCACCCAUGGCAAGAAAUGAAACUAGCAAGAUGGAUGCAAGAAUAAGAGGAGAUAAUUAUUAACUGGUGUAAAACAAUCAAGAUAUAACAAGCAUAUUAUCAUGGAGGACUAAAAAUGUAAUGUAAGAGUGAAAACUACAAAUGAUGCGAUAAUACUGAAAUUUCAUUUGUAGAUGACUUUGUACAGGGUAAGUUUCAUGCACAUAAAGCAUCCAAGAUCAUGAUUUCCUGGUGUUUGGGGGACAAGAAAAUACGUGAGAAUUAGGUUCUGAAAAGAAGAAGAAAAUACAGGCGACAGUGCAUUUAUUCAGAGCUUGUUCCUCAAACAAACAAGAAUUGGCCAAUUGAAGAGUUUGCAAUGGAGACAAGGCCUUGAUUUAGAGCAGUUAAUUAGUCCCAAUAUAUUCAGGUGAUAGGUAAUGAUGAGAAGGAUUCACAAAGCAAGCUAGCAAGAUUCGAAUUCAGGCGACAGGGAGCACCGAUUGGGUGGCUUCCAACUUUCCUAGACCCUGACAACGAUUAUCCAUCAAACGAUAUAUCCAUCCAUCCAACGAUUUUCCAUCUAGUGCUACAUAUAUCUCUAGAUAGGCAGAUCCACGACAGGGAUUGACAGCAGUCACCAGGUGGAGCUGGAUACGCAUGGAGCUGGACAAGUUCUUCACUCCAUGGGAGGAGGAAGAAGGCGUGUCCCCCGCCACGGACCUAGGGUUUGCAGGGGAGGGGAUGGAGAAGUGGAGGACUGGAGGAUUCAGCUCGGGAAGAACCGGUGGAGGAGCGCGUCGACGAUCUGGUGGCGGCGGGGCGAUGAAGAUCCGGCAGCGGGACUCCUCCUCUUGGUGGCGGCGGGACGAUGCUCUGUCUCGGUGCGUCUCGCCCGUCUCGUUCCCUGCGGGUGCCCUCGAGGCUUGAAAGACGCGUGGAUAGGAGGGGAUCGAAGGGGGAUCGAGGGGGUUGGGUUGUGCAAACCCCGUGAAACAAAUGGGCCGCCAAAGUUUGUCGAGGUUUUUGAGCCCCGCGGGGUUAAUCCUCUCGAAACCCUCUCGAUCCUCCUGUAUCAAACGAGGCCUGACGGAGGACUGCACCCCGCCACCGGGCUCGACCAUGUAGUGCCUGAAGGGCCUGAACUCCUCCGUUGGACAGGCCUAAGGAAAGCUGAAGCUAGAUGGCGUCGCCGACUGCCUGCGAGAUGGGCCCCGGCAGUGAGUGUGGUGCUGCGUGGCACGAUGGCAGCAUGAGCUGCAGCUUGAGGUCAUGCCGAAAGCUCAUGCCACAGGCGCUCGGGAUGGGACGUGGCACUAGGCGGCGACCCGAUGAAAAGCCAGUGGUGGAGGCGAGGUCGCUGGGGGAGGUGGGUGGCCUAGGCUGCGGGUGGUCACCUAGGGGUGCCGGAGGAAUAGGGUGGCCACAGAGUGGGGAUGGCGCGGUCUUAGGGGGUGGCCCCAGAUUUUACUCGGCCGCCUCCAGGAGGAGUAAAUUUAGGGGUUGGAUAGCCGGAUGAGUAAAAUUUAUCCACCCUAGUACUUCGGCUAUGUGCAGCAUAAAGAAGGAAAAUCCAAUUUAUCCUCCCUUAUAGCCCGAUAGAGGAUCGGUUAGACUUGGUCUUACUAAGUUGUCCUUUGUUAAAAUCACUCAUUAUGCAUGAAUAACCUAAAGGUCUUGAUUUUAAAGGGGCCUUUGCUUUUUAAACUUGAUUUCAGCACGUCCAAAGACCGGUUUGGGUAUUACAGGUGAUGUCGUUCUGUUUGUUCAUAACUGCUUCUAGUGCCCGUUUUUCCUACUAGUGAAUAUUGGUUUCGUGCAUCGAUUUGGGAUGAUUGCUUUGCUCAUGGUGUACUUCGGCGAGUCGGGGUCGCUGGUCGCCUGCGUGCAGCUAUGAAGUUAUUCGUGCAAUUUUUUUCUUAAUUAAUAAAAAUGAAAGUCUUUUACCAAUUUAACAAAUCAAUUAGCAUUAUGCCGAGGAGGGACUGAGGGAGGCCGGCCAAACUGGGGUUGACGAUUGCCGACGCGGCUAGGCGAGCUAGGCCAAAAACAAGGAGCGCUCACACAGACAGAAAUGGAGUGCACGCUGACUGACACUGCACUUACGCACAUCGGCACAUGGUCCUACCUAUACGUGUUAUCCUACGCACGCUCCGUGCCAACCCCGAUGGACGUCUGCCUCCUCUUAUCCGGUGCAGAGUCUAGUAGAGCGCCCGCCCAUCGCGUGCUCCCAUUUUAAUAUGACCAACGAGGCGACGCCACUGUACCUGUGCUCUGCCCCGCCGCACCGCCCCCCGGUUCUACCAAAACCACGGUCUUGCCUCCCACCGUAUCAACUCGCCAUCCUUCCCGCCCGCCGGUUGCGCGGUUUCCAGCAACCUAUAAAUCCCGCCGGAGCACCUUGCUCUGCCAAUCUUAGCUCAUCUCACUCACACUGCUUACUUGACUUCACUACCUAGCUCACUUCCUUCGGAUCUCGUGCCACCAAGCUCUCUUCCACGGCCACGAAGAUGUCUACGGUGACCGGUGCCCACCUAGACCAGAGGCUCGCCGCCGCCAAGCGCUGCUCCAGAGGUAACCAAAACGAUGUCCCGCCGGUCCUGCCGGACAGCAACGCUCGUGUCCUUCUGCUGUCCGCGUCGCAGCCUAUCCCCUCAAAACUUGAUCGUAACUGACAUGUCUCUGUUGAUUUGAAACUGCAGAGGCUGCCAUGGCGGGAGCCAAGGCCGCAGCCGUCGCCACCGUCGCUGCCGCAGUCCCCACAGUAAGUAGCCAUUCAGUUCUUCCACGAAAUCCUUGCACGGUUCAUAGCAUGUCUCAUGAAUGCGUUAUCUGUAACUUCAGCUGGCGAGCGUGAGGAUGCUGCCGUGGGCCAAGACGCACCUGAACCCCGCCGGGCAGGCGCUCAUCAUCUCCACCGUCGCCGGGAUGGCCUACUUCAUCGUCGCCGACAAGACCAUCCUCUCCAUGGCCAGGAAGCAUUCCUUCGAGGACGCGCCGGACCACCUCAAGAACACCUCCUUCCACUAAUUAGGCUAUACUUUCAAUAAUUAGUAGUAGUGCGCAAUAAACUACACGCCGGCCCGUACGGCCGUACGUGUCUGCUGAAUGAUACUAGUAUGAUGUUCAGCGAGAGAGGCGAGGCGAUGCAGAUCAGGCCUCGCGCUUCUAUCCGUGCAAGCACUUAUCUCAUGAAGUUACCAUGUAAUCCAGCUAGUAUUCUUGGAUAAAUGAAUACUAGUAUUUGUACAACUCUAGUUCAUCUGCCAUCACUCAUCUUACAUGUGGCAGAGCAUAAAAAAAGAAUCUCCGACGCCGACCCCUAAAACGGACACUAUACCCGUUUGUGAGCCGGUCAUUUGACGCUAAUCCAUCAAACGUCCAGGCACAUUUCAAAUAGAUUUUAAGCAAACUAGAUAAAGCUCAUAUAGAUCAAACGAUUUUCAUUUAAUCCAGGUCAAAUUCAUUACAUUUUAGAUAUAUUUCAACUAAACAAAACCGGACGACACUGUUUACCCCGGUCUAAAUAUUCGUCGGUCGUGGAGGCCUUCGUGUUCCGCAUCAUGUCUUUACCAUGUCCGGCAAGUUCAGUGGCCGCAAGCUUUUGUGAAGUGAAGUGGCCGGAGGGGAAGAAUAUAACAUCAUGUCUUUACCAUGUCUGGCAAGUUCAGUGGCCGCAAGCUUUUGUGAAGUGAAGUUGCCGGAGGGGAAGAAUAUAAGAUGGGACACGACUCACAUGGGACCCGAGACUUGCCCACAUCAUGUUCUUCCCGGCCAGAGUCCAUCAUGUGGACGUUGCCGGGCAUGGAUGGAUCGGCCUCGUGGCCAUUACGGUUAGGCACGAACCGUGCUAGCGGCGCGACCAACGAGGAACUGGCGACGUCUGUGAUGUUUCUGCCCCAUCUUCGUCCGUCUCCGCGUCGAUCUCCAUGAGCAGGGUGUUAAUCGCCUCUUGCAGGACGCAUUGCCGCCAUCGCUUGCGAGGGAUGUCGUGAACUGCGGCCAACGACCAUGAGGCGAGUCCAUUCAACAUUUCCGACACGGAGGUUGUCUCAUCUCCAACGACAAGUACAACCAGGAUAGUUUGAUCUAUGUACGAUGUAGUACGUGGUUUAAUUUUAUGUUCCAUGAUGUAGCAUAAAAAAAGUAGAGGAUGAGAUUUGAGGUUUAGAGUAUCUCUAGCAGACCCCGAAAACGAGGACCUGUAAACUCAGUUUAAAGUUCGCUCAUUGCCUCGGAUACGGGCCGAAAACCUCCGCGAAAGAACAGAAACCGUAAAUGGAACUGUAAAUUUUGAAUUCAAGACUUCGCGGAAGAAAUAGAAGAGUUCAUAGUUCUUGAUCAGCAUACAUAGUUCAUACAUACACUAAAUUACACUAAAUAGCUAGGAGGAUAGGCAGCCACCGUAACCCUACAGUUAAAAAUUGGCUCAUCGGAGCCAUCAUGGUGCGGUGGCGACACUGCGGCGGCGGACAUCAUCAGUCGUCGGAAACGAGGUCGACGUAGAUGUCGUCCCGCGCCUUCUUCUCGCGGCGCCGUGUGUCUUGGUUGUCGACGAACUCCUUCUUCGCGAGCUCCUGCUCGAGGAGGACAUCGUCGAGGUUCACAAGGGAUUGUCGGCGCCCCUCCUCCUCCCCCCGCACACUGUGCACCAUGAUUGCCCACUCGAAGAUGUCCGCNNNNNNNNNNNNNNNNNNNNNNNNNNNNNNNNNNNNNNNNNNNNNNNNNNNNNNNNNNNNNNNNNNNNNNNNNNNNNNNNNNNNNNNNNNNNNNNNNNNNNNNNNNNNNNNNNNNNNNNNNNNNNNNNNNNNNNNNNNNNNNNNNNNNNNNNNNNNNNNNNNNNNNNNNNNNNNNNNNNNNNNNNNNNNNNNNNNNNNNNNNNNNNNNNNNNNNNNNNNNNNNNNNNNNNNNNNNNNNNNNNNNNNNNNNNNNNNNNNNNNNNNNNNNNNNNNNNNNNNNNNNNNNNNNNNNNNNNNNNNNNNNNNNNNNNNNNNNNNNNNNNNNNNNNNNNNNNNNNNNNNNNGGCGUGCGGGGACUGGACCCCCGAUGGAGGAGGAGCCCGCACCGGCGGUCGUACUCCUCCAUCUCACGGAGGAGGAGCGACUCCAGGGAGUGGAGGUCGUGGUUGGUGUACUUCUUUGCCGCGCGCUUCCUCGCGCCUUCAGCUCGGACACGCCGCUGGCGCUCGGGGUCGUCCCUCCCGCCGAAGCUGCGGCCGGAGCUCCACAUUCCGCCCCACAUAGUGGCAUUCGGUGGCGGGACUGGACUCACCGGCGACGAGAAAUAGAAGGGGGAUUGGGGAGGAUUGGGGAAUCGCGGCGGCGGGGGAUAGGGUUUCGACCCGUAUCGGCGCCGCGAACCCGUAGAUAUACCGCGUCCGGGGACGGCUUGCGGGCCACCAUAAAAUGUUUUACGGGCCGGGCGAGAAUACGGGCUCUGUUCUGGACAAAAAAAAUGGGCGAGCCCGUACAGUCGUCGGGAUUUUACGGGUCUACGCGUUUUGAGGGGUCUGCUACAGAUGCUCUUAUGGUUGCAGCGAAAGAUAAAUGAAGGGUGACCCGGCUCUGUCCAGGGAUGGGUCCAGAUGCAUUUGCGAACAUAUGGGGUCACUUUUGAAAUAUGCAGCUGUAGAUAUUGUAACAUUACCAAGAUUUUCACGGAAUUGUAUCGGGAUGCUUUUGUGUGUGGAAAAGAAUAACUAGUUUCCUACCUCUUCAUCUUUUUUUUGCAGGAAAGACUAAAAUAAAUCUAGAAAAAUGCAAUCACCAAUGCCAAUUCUAGAAUUGGAAUCUUGGUGGGCUAGGAUACCACUGUUCUCCUAACCAUCGAAUCAUUUGCUUCUGCCUUUUCAUCUUAAUAAUUCACACAUCCAUAUUUAUAUUUAUUAUAAACAAUUGUGAGUAGGAGUAAUAAAAUUCAGCACAAAUCAAUCAGUGGCGGGAGAAACAACGCCACAACCGGUGUAGGCAAACAUGCCUACACAAAAAGCAUAAUAUUGCAUCAUCUAUCCUACGUGAAAUGUUAAGUUAUUUUUAAUUAAAGAUAAAUUAUUUGCCUCAUCUAUUAAGUAAGAAAAGACAUGGGAGGAGCGUUUUGGCUACUGGGAGCAUUUACUCCUGGAUGAGCGGUACCGCCAAAAAGGUUGUAAAUCGUUUUUAAAAAAUUCUGAUUUUUUAUGGAUGUUCGUGUUAGUGUCGCAACCUUGCUUGACAAAUUUCAUGCGAUUCGGAAUAUCAGUGUUUCAUCGGUGAAAAACCAAAUUUGGGGUGACAUUUUGGGGCAGCAUUUGAUGUUCAUAUUUGUUUUGUUUUCAUAGGCCAAAAUGUUUAACCUUUUUGCCCAAAACUUUGCAGUAGCAUUUGGAUCUAAGUAUAAAUACAUAAAAUAAUUGUUGGAAUUUUUGUAACAUUUCAAAAAAUUGUUUUUCACACGCAGGAGCACAUGCUCCUGGGAGCCAAAUUGGAUUUCCGGAGAAUGACUCUAAAUAAAAUAAAAGGACAAUAGAGUGUGUGUUAGAAGCCGAAAAUGUGCUCAUUUUUAUUGUAUUCAUUUGAUGCUUUAUUUUGAGUAAUAUAAAAAGCACGAUGGUGAGGCCGACCCCGCCAAACAAAGGAUCAGGCGCUCGCGGAAUUGGAUCGCCGACGGGUUGACCGUAUACUGGGAGCGCCCACACAGGUCGCCAACAAACGGAGUGCACGCAGACAGAUACUGCUCUCACGCACAUGCUCCUACGUGUUAUCCUACGCACCAACACGCUCCCCGGCAACCCCGAUGGGUCGAUCCGCUGCAGAGCCCGCCACUUGUGUUCUGCCGCACCAAAAAAACCACGGUCUUGCUGGCUUCCCACCGUAUCAGGUCGUCUUCCUGCCCGGCCGCACGCUGGUUGAGCGGUUUCCUGCAACCUAUAAAUCCCGCCGGAUCACCUCGCUCUGCCCAUCUCAUCUCACUCGCAUUCACUCAACUGAUACUACUAGCUAGUCCACUUCCUUCGGAUCUCUUGCCACCAAGCUCUGCUCCCGCCAAGAUGUCGACGGUGACCCGCGCCUACCUCGACCAGAGGCUCGCCGCCGCCAAGCGCUGCUCCAAAGGUAACGGUUCGGGCCUCAGGCCAGCACUGCUCUGCUCGUAUAUCCCACCCAUUGCAGCCUAUGCUUGUGCUGAAACCUGACCUGGAUUAACAUUUCCCUACGUUGAUCCGAAACUGCAGAGGCUGCCAUGGCGGGAGCCAAGGCGGCGGCCGUCGCCACCGUCGCUGCCGCAGUGCCCACAGUAAGUAGCCGUUCAGUUCUUCAGUUCCAGAGUUCAUAGCACAUAUCUCAUGAAUGCGUCACCUGUAAUUUCAGCUGGCGAGCGUGAGGAUGCUGCCGUGGGCGAAGGCGCACCUGAACCCGACCGGGCAGGCCCUCAUCAUCUCCACCGUCGCCGGGAUGGCCUACUUCAUCGUCGCCGACAAGACCAUCCUCUCCAUGGCCAGGAAGCACUCGUACGAGACGGCGCCAGAGCACCUCAAGAACACCUCCUUCAACU